AUUGAACGCUGGCGGCAGGCCUAACACAUGAAAGUCGAACGAGUGGCGGACGGGUGAGUAAUGUCUGGGAAACUGCCCGAUGGAGGGGGAUCACUACUGGAAACGGUAGCUAAUACCGCAUACCAUCGGAGGUGCCCAGAUGGGAGUAGCUAGUAGGUGGGGUAACGGCUCACCUAGGCGACGAUCCCUAGCUGGUCUGAGAGGAUGACCAUCCACACGGGAACUGAGACACGGUCCAGAGUCCUACGGGAGGCAGCAGUGGGGAAUAUUGCACAAUGGGCGAAAGCCUGAUGCAGCCAUGCCGCGUGUAUGAAGAAGGCCUUCGGGUUGUAAAGUACUUUCAGCGAGGAGGCGUUACUCGCAGAAGAAGCACCGGCUAACUACGUGCCAGCAGCCGCGGUAAUUC
rnacentral:rRNA from 1 species